rnacentral:Y_RNA from 1 species
GGCUGGUCCAAUGGCAGUGGGUUAUCAGAACUUUUUAACAUUAAUGUCACUAAAGUUGGUAUACAACCCCCCACUGCUAAAUUUGGCUUUCA